UCCAGACUCCUACGGGAGGCAGCAGUGAGGAAUAUUGGUCAAUGGGCGGGAGCCUGAACCAGCCAAGUCGCGUGAGGGAAGACGGUCCUAUGGAUUGUAAACCUCUUUAGGCGGGGAGCAAUGCCGGGCACGCGUGCCCGGAGGGAGAGUACCCGCAGAAUAAGCAUCGGCUAACUCCGUGCCAGCAGCCGCGGUAAUACGGAGGAUGCGAGCGUUAUCCGGAUUUAUUGGGUUUAAAGGGAGCGUAGGUGGAUUGUUAAGUCAGUUGUGAAAGUUUGCGGCUCAACCGUAAAAUUGCAGUUGAAACUGGCAGUCUUGAGUACAGUAGAGGUGGGCGGAAUUCGUGGUGUAGCGGUGAAAUGCUUAGAUAUCACGAAGAACUCCGAUUGCGAAGGCAGCUCACUGGACUGCAACUGACCCUGAGGCUCGAAAGUGUGGGUAUCAAACAGGAUUAGAUACCCGGGUG
rnacentral:rRNA from 1 species